UUUUCCUCCUCUACAGCUGAUUCCACUAAUUUGCUUUUCUCCUGAUGUUGUGGAGAAGGAGGCUCGAAAGGAUCCCAUAUAUUCCAUGAGGAAGUCACAAUUGGAGGAGGUGGUGGGGUAGAACAAUCAUCCUCAUUAAUGCUUAUGCUUUCUUCUCUAUCAAUUUCUUGUUUCUGAUUAUCAGUCGACUUUCUUAAAUCAGGGCUAAAAGGAGGAGGCGGCGGAGGAGAGGGAGGCAAAGGAAGAGGAGGGGAAGGAGGCAAUGCCUGUACAUAGGAGGUAUUUUCAAGCUCUUCAAGUUCUAAUGACUCUGACUCAGUGAAUUGCCUAAGGGUUACACCAGUAUUCUUCAGUGCUCUCAAAUAAGCAAGUUGAGCUUCUGCAAAUUCUCCUCGAA
rnacentral:lncRNA from 1 species